rnacentral:rRNA from 1 species
AUUGAACGCUGGCGGAAUGCUUUACACAUGCAAGUCGAACGGCAGCACGGGGGCAACCCUGGUGGCGAGUGGCGAACGGGUGAGUAAUACAUCGGAACGUGCCCAGUCGUGGGGGAUAACGUAGCGAAAGUUACGCUAAUACCGCAUACGAUCUACGGAUGAAAGCGGGGGACCGUAAGGCAUCGCGCGAUUGGAUCGGCCGAUGUCAGAUUAGGUAGUUGGUGAGGUAAAGGCUCACCAAGCCGACGAUCUGUAGCUGGUCUGAGAGGACGACCAGCCACACUGGGACUGAGACACGGCCCAGACUCCUACGUGAGGCAGCAGUGGGGAAUUUUGGACAAUGGGCGCAAGCCUGAUCCAGCCAUUCCGCGUGCAGGACGAAGGCCUUCGGGUUGUAAACUGCUUUUGUACGGAACGAAAAGGCUCUGGUUAAUACCUGGGGCUCAUGACGGUACCGUAAGAAUAAGCACCGGCUAACUACGUGCCAGCCGCCGCAGUAA